rnacentral:rRNA from 1 species
UACGUAGGCAGCAAGCGUUGUUCGGAGUUACUGGGCGUAAAGGGUGCGUAGGCGGCUUUUUAAGUUUGGUGUGAAAUCUCCCGGCUCAACUGGGAGGGUGCGCCGAAUACUGAGAGGCUAGAGUGUGGGAGAGGAAAGUGGAAUUCCUGGUGUAGCGGUGAAAUGCGUAGAUAUCAGGAGGAACACCGGUGGUGUAAACGGCUUUCUGGACCAUAACUGACGCUGAGGCACGAAAGCGUGGGGAGCGAACAGG